CGAAAGCGAUCAGCAAGGAGUAUUACGUAAUUUGACGCGAGGGCAAAUUCGACAUUUCUCACGCGCUAGUAUAAAUAGGAAAAAUGGAAAACCCUAACACCUAAACUCUCAUUUUCUCCCUCACUCUCGGCCGCACCCUCUCUCUCCCCGACCUCACUCUCUCAUUCUCACCUUCUCCCUCUGCCAGCGCCGGAAACUCCAUCUCCGGCCACCAGCUCUUGUUACCGCCACCACCAAUCGACGCCGCACCCAAAACUGACCCAAGCCCGAGUCUCACCGUCGACAUGCAUCGCCUCCAGCCUCCGCACGGGUUCCUCGAAGCAGCGACGCCACUGCUCGUUGGCCUUCUCUGAUUUCCGGUCAUCACCUCGCCACAACGCCGCCGCCGCCUGACUCAGCAAGCAACGAGGAGCAAAACCCAGAAGUUCCGCCACCCACCGAAGCCAGGAAACGCUGUGCUAGCUCGCCGGAAACCGUAGCUCUGCAUGUCGUCGUUUUUCUUUUCCUAGCCGUUUCUGAAUUACACGACCACCAUACACGGAGUCAGCAUCUCAAGGUCUAGAAUAGCCCCUAACCUGGACCUCCGAUUCCGACCAGAGCCGCCGCUGGCACGUGAGAAACCUUGACGCCGCCGUGAACCUUGCCGGCGUAGUCCUAUCGUUCCGGUAAGCCAUUUUUGAAGCCCCCUUUCAUUAUUUGGUUGAGUUACAGUGUUGAAAUAGUAGGUUAUUGAUGUUGAGUUGUUUGGGUUCAUAUUCUGGAAAUCCUGGACUUGGAGGAGACGAUGGAAAUCCAAAUGAAAAGGGGAGCUUCUGGUCUUGGUUUCGAUUUGAGUUUUUAGUGGGAUGAUGAGGGACAAAGGAGGACUGCAAGGAGCAACACGUUAUGGAGAUUUUGGUCUUGGCAGAACAGAUAUAGGAUAAACCCAUGGAGUUUGGGUCAAGGUUAAUUAGCCGAGGCUACCACGUACGAGGGAGAAGUUGCAAUGGGUAUGAAAAAGGACCGAGCGUGUGCACUUGGAUUUGGAUAAAGGAUCGAAAGUCGGGAAUGAACCCGAAUGUGGGCAAGCACUCCAAUUCCAGUGUGCAGGUUUCGAGCAUGUGGUCGGGAAGCGUACAGGGGAGGCACAUGGCACGGCUUGGCGCAUUUCUCUUUAGUUUUAUCAAAAGAAGGUUUUGGUCCUUAAUCGGAUUUUGUAGUAGCUUGUUUAUUUACUUUUUAUUUAUUUCCUACUCGUUUACAAAAAUUCCGGGAGACCCGUAACCCUGGGGCGCGUCUCCCAUACUUGUCGUUACUUAGAGAUGUGUUUUAUUUUCCAAAUUGGGCUCCGAUCGCAAGCCCAAAACUCUUAGCCCAUUUCGAAUUCCGCUUUUGAAAAUGUGUUGUUAGGUUGCUAGAAUGAUUUGUCCAAGAAAGUGUUUUGUAAACCAACAACCUAAACUCAAAAGGCCUUGCGGUUUCGGGUUGAUGAGCUAUCGAGAUGC